rnacentral:rRNA from 1 species
UACGAAGGGGGCUAGCGUUGCUCGGAAUCACUGGGCGUAAAGGGUGCGUAGGCGGGUUUUUAAGUCAGGGGUGAAAUCCUGGAGCUCAACUCCAGAACUGCCUUUGAUACUGGAGAUCUGAGUCCGGGAGAGGUGAGUGGAACUGCGAGUGUAGAGGUGAAAUUCGUAGAUAUUCGCAAGAACACCAGUGGCGAAGGCGGCUCACUGGCCCGGUACUGACGCUGAGGUGCGAAAGCGUGGGGAGCAAACAGGG